CCUACGGGAGGCAGCAGUGGGGAAUUGUUCGCAAUGGGCGCAAGCCUGACGACGCAACGCCGCGUGGAGGAUGAAGACCUUCGGGUCGUAAACUCCUUUCGAUCGAGACGAAUGUUUUCCGGGUGAACAAUCCGGAAAAGUGACGGUACCGAGAGAAGAAGCCCCGGCUAACUCUGUGCCAGCAGCCGCGGUAAUACAGGGGGGGCAAGCGUUGUUCGGAAUUACUGGGCGUAAAGGGCUUGUAGGUGGCCAACUAAGUCAGACGUGAAAUCCCUCAGCUUAACUGGGGAACUGCGUCUGAUACUGGAUGGCUUGAGUUUGGGAGAGGGAUGCGGAAUUCCAGGUGUAGCGGUGAAAUGCGUAGAUAUCUGGAGGAACACCGGUGGCGAAGGCGGCAUCCUGGACCAACACUGACACUGAGGAGCGAAAGCCAGGGGAGCAAACGGGAUUAGAUACCCCGGUAGUCCUGGCCCUAAACGAUGAAUGCUUGGUGUGGCGGGUAUCGAUCCCUGCCGUGCCGAAGCUAACGCAUUAAGCAUUCCGCCUGGGGAUACGGUCGCAAGGCUGAAACUAGAAUGAACGUGNGNGNGNGNGNGCGAGACGAGAGAGGAG
rnacentral:rRNA from 1 species